rnacentral:rRNA from 1 species
GACGAACGCUGGCGGCGUGCCUAAUACAUGCAAGUAGAACGCUGAAGGAGGAGCUUGCUCUUCUGGAUGAGUUGCGAACGGGUGAGUAACGCGUAGGUAACCUGCCUGGUAGCGGGGGAUAACUAUUGGAAACGAUAGCUAAUACCGCAUAACAGUAGAUGUUGCAUGACAUUUGCUUAAAAGGUGCAAUUGCACCACUACCAGAUGGACCUGCGUUGUAUUAGCUAGUUGGUGGGGUAACGGCUCACCAAGGCGACGAUACAUAGCCGACCUGAGAGGGGGAUCGGCCAGCCUGGGACUGUGACCCGGCCCAGACUCCUACGGGAGGCAGCAGUAGGGCAUCUUCGGCAAUGGACGGGAGUCUGACCGAGCAACGCCGCGUGAGUGAAGAGGGUUUUCGGAUCGUAAAGCUCGGUUGUAGGAGAAGAACGAGUGUGAGAGUGGAAAGUUCACACUGUGACGGUAUCUUACCAGAAAGGGACGGCUAACUACGUG